UACGUAGGCAGCAAGCGUUGUUCGGAAUUACUGGGCGUAAAGGGCGCGUAGGCGGAUAGUUUAGUCAGAGGUGAAAGCCCAGGGCUCAACCUUGGAAUUGCCUUUGAUACUGGCUAUCUUGAGUUCGGAAGAGGUAAGUGGAAUGCCGAGUGUAGAGGUGAAAUUCGUAGAUAUUCGGCGGAACACCAGUGGCGAAGGCGGCUCACUGGCCCGAUACUGACGCUGAGGCACGAAAGCGUGGGGAGCAAACAGG
rnacentral:rRNA from 1 species